rnacentral:rRNA from 1 species
AUGGCCGGGUUGCGCUUGCAUUGGAACGCUGUUAGAAGCACUGGGGAACACUUAAAAUGGAACGUCAGGUCGACUGGUCAGUCUGGUGCACCAUCUAUGGGUGCACUAGGGAGGUCUGGAGAAUGGGAAGGCCUCGUGCUCGACGGCGGUAGCAAGUGGUUCGUCUAUGUCUCCAUCCUGUUCAAAAGGAGAAUGAACUAG